ACCCCCGUAGCUCAAUUGGCUAGAGCAUCUACCCGCUAAGUAGGAGGUUGCAGGUUCGAAUCCUGCCGGGGGUA
rnacentral:tRNA from 1 species